rnacentral:rRNA from 1 species
UACAGAGGUCCCAAGCGUUGUUCGGAUUCACUGGGCGUAAAGGGUGCGUAGGUGGUUGGGCAAGUCUGAUGUGAAAGCCCUGGGCUCAACCUGGGAAUUGCAGUGGAUACUGGCAAGCUAGAGUGCGGUAGAGGAUGGUGGAAUUCCCGGUGUAGCGGUGAAAUGCGUAGAGAUCGGGAGGAACACCCGUGGCGAAGGCGGCCAUCUGGACCAGCACUGACGCUGAGGCACGAAAGCGUGGGGAGCAAACAGG